AGUGAACGCUGGCGGUAGGCCUAACACAUGCAAGUCGAACGGCAGCACAGUAAGAGCUUGCUCUUACGGGUGGCGAGUGGCGGACGGGUGAGGAAUACAUCGUAAUCUACUUUUUCGUGGGGGAUAACGUAGGUAAACUUACGCUAAUACCGCAUACGACCUACGGGUGAAAGCAGGGGAUCUUCGGACCUUGCGCGAUUGAAUGAGCCGAUGUCGGAUUAGCUAGUUGGCGGGGUAAAGGCCCACCAAGGCGACGAUCCGUAGCUGGUCUGAGAGGAUGAUCAGCCACACUGGAACUGAGACCCGGUCCAGAUUCCUACGGGAGCGAGCAGUGGGGAAUAUUGGACAAUGGGCGCAAGCCUGAUCCAGCCAUACCGCGUGGGUGAAGAAGGCCUUCGGGUUGUAAAGCACUUUUGUUGGGAAAGAAAAGCAGCAGGUUAAUACCCCGCUGUUCUGACGGUACCCAAAGAAUAAGCACCGGCUAACUUAGUG
rnacentral:rRNA from 1 species